UUAAACGAGUUCGAAUGCGUCCCUUUUUUACAUCAAUAUUGUUUAAACAAUGAUGAAUGUCGAUUCAAUUUUUCUAUCUGUGUUGAAAAUAAAUGUCAAUGCAAACAUAACUUUCAAUCUGUAUCAGCAAGUCAGUGCAAACCAAUUAAUUACAUGUAUGUAUGCAAUGAAGAUUUAGAUUGCGGUGAUCCAUGGCAUAUUAAAUGUUUUCCAGACAGGAAAUGUCGAUGCAAUUCAAACAAUAUUUCAAUUAAUCGAUCGACAUGUUUGCCACUCUUAAAAGGUUAUUGCUGGAAAGAUAGCCAAUGCUUCGUUCCCAAUUCAGCUUGUAUUGAUUUUCAGUGUAAAUGCAAACAGAAUUUCAUGGCUGUAUCCGGUAAUCUAUGCUUACCAGUGUAAAGUAGGACCCUAUCGACACUUAUUCUUAUCAUCACUAUGGCUUCUUACAUGGACUGCAAACCGGUUGCUGAUAAAUAAUCAUUGAAUCAUCAUUUUAACAUUUAUAUUAUGAAUUGUACACGCUUUUAAAAAAAGAUAGA